UCCUACGGGACGCAGCAGUGGGGAAUAUUGCACAAUGGGGGAAACCCUGAUGCAGCGACGCCGCGUGAGGGAAGAAGGCCCUGCGGGUCGCAGACCUCUUUGGACGGGGAGCAAGGCCGCCGACGUGUCGGCGGAAGGAGAGUACCCGUAGAACAAGCAUCGGCUAACUCCGUGCCAGCAGCCGCGGUAAUACGGAGGAUGCGAGCGUUAUCCGGAUUUAUUGGGUUUAAAGGGUGCGCGGGCGGCACGGCAAGCCGGCGGUCAAAUCGCGGGGCUCAACCCCGCCCCGCCGUCGGAACCGCCGG
rnacentral:rRNA from 1 species